UUGUCGUUGGGUAUAUAAGAUCAAGACUAAUUCUGAUGGGUCAAUUGAGCGAUACAAAGCUAGGUUGGUUACAAAGGGAUACUCUCAACGGUAUGGUAUGGAUUAUGAGGAGACAUUUGCUUAUGUUGCAAAAAUGACUACUAUUCGUACUCUUAUUGCAGUAGCUUUGGUUCGUCAGUGAUGUAUCUCUCAACUUGAUGUUAAAAAUGCCUUCCUGAAUGGAGAUUUUCAAGAAGAGGUUUAUAUGGCACCCCCUCCUGGUGUUUCACAUGAUUCUGGGUAUGUUUGCAAGCUCAAGAAAGCGUUGUAUGGUCUCAAACAAACACCUCGUGCUUGGUUUAAGAAAUUUUCUGUUGUGAUCUCUUCCCUUGGAUUUGCUUCUAGUAGUCAUGAUUCUGCUCUUUUUGUUAAGAGUACUGAUGCAAGUCGUAUCAUUCUAUCUUUAUAUGUUGAUGAAAUGAUUAUUACUGGUGAUAAUAUUGAUGGUAUUUCAGUUUUGAAGACAGAGUUAGCUAGACAGUUUGAAAUGAAAGAUUUGGGUUCUCUAUAAUAUUUCUUGGGUAUUGAGGUAGCCUUCUCACCCAGAGGUUAUCUUCUUUCUUAGUCGAAAUAUGUUGCAGAUAUUCUUGAGCGGGCAAGACUUACUGAUAAUAAGAUUGUUGAUACUCCAAUUGAGGUUAACACAAAGUAUUCUUCUUCUGACGGUUUACCUUUCUCAGAUCAUACUUUAUACUGUACUAUUGUUGGGAGCUUGAUAUAUCUCACUAUUACUCGUCCAGAUAUUGCAUAUGUUGUUCAUAUUGUUAGUCAGUUUGUUGCUUCUCCCACUACAGUUCAUUGGGCAGUUGUUCUUCACAUUUUGCGAUAUCUUCGGGGUACAGUCUUUCAGAGUCUGUUACUUCCAUCCACCUCCUCCUUGGAGCUACGUGCAUACUCUGAUGCUGAUUGUGGCAGUGAUCCCACAGAUCGCAAGUCUGUUACUGCUUUCUGUAUCUUUUUAGGUGAUUAUCUUAUUUCUUGGAAAAGCAAGAAACAAUCUAUUGUUUCUCAAUCUUCCACCGAAGCAGAAUAUUGUGCUAUGGCAUCUACUACUAAAGAGAUUGUUUGGUUACGUUAGUUACUUACAGAUAUGGGAGUUUUUCUUUCUCAUCCCACUCCUAUGUAUUGCGACAACCAAAUUUCUAUUCAGAUUGCUCACAACUCGAUUUUUAUGAACGAACUAAGCACAUUGAGAUCGAUUGUCCUCUUACUCAUCAUCAUCUCAAGCAUGGCACAAUUACUUUGCCCUUUGUUUAUUCUUCUUUGCAGCUUGCAGAUUUUUUUUACCAAGUCGCAUUCUAUUUCUCAUUUUCGUUUUCUAUUUGGCAAACUCUCGAUGCUUGUAGCUACUGCAUCGUGAGUUUGAGGGGAGAUGUUAAGAAAUAUAGGAUUAUUUAUUAUUUAUUAAGGGUAGAAUAGUACUUUUUAGUUUCCUUUGUUUAGCCUAUAUAUUAUCU
rnacentral:lncRNA from 1 species